CUUGCUACCUGACCUAGCGGCGGACGGGUGAGUAAUGCUUAGGAAUCUGCCUAUUAGUGGGGGACAACAUUCCGAAAGGAAUGCUAAUACCGCAUACGCCCUACGGGGGAAAGCAGGGGAUCUUCGGACCUUGCGCUAAUAGAUGAGCCUAAGUCAGAUUAGCUAGUUGGUGGGGUAAAGGCCUACCAAGGCGACGAUCUGUAGCGGGUCUGAGAGGAUGAUCCGCCACACUGGGACUGAGACACGGCCCAGACUCCUACGGGAGGCAGCAGUGGGGAAUAUUGGACAAUGGGCGAAAGCCUGAUCCAGCCAUGCCGCGUGUGUGAAGAAGGCCUUUUGGUUGUAAAGCACUUUAAGCGAGGAGGAGGCUACUUAGAUUAAUACUCUAGGAUAGUGGACGUUACUCGCAGAAUAAGCACCGGCUAACUCUGUGCCAGCAGCCGCGGUAAUACAGAGGGUGCGAGCGUUAAUCGGAUUUACUGGGCGUAAAGCGUGCGUAGGCGGCUUUUUAAGUCGGAUGUGAAAUCCCUGAGCUUAACUUAGGAAUUGCAUUCGAUACUGGGAAGCUAGAGUAUGGGAGAGGAUGGUAGAAUUCCAGGUGUAGCGGUGAAAUGCGUAGAGAUCUGGAGGAAUACCGAUGGCGAAGGCAGCCAUCUGGCCUAAUACUGACGCUGAGGUACGAAAGCAUGGGGAGCAAACAGGAUUAGAU
rnacentral:rRNA from 1 species